GUGCAUGCAAAUUUAACUCUUAUCCGAACUUGCAUUGUGAACACAAUUUCAGAGAAAUAAUCUCCAACUUGUACGCUUUGGCAAGGGGUGAAGUAUCAUCUCCCUCGCCUAAAUCCUAAAUUAUACUCAUUGCCUAAUUCUCAUUACUCAAAAUUUUCACCUAAAUUCUCUCUCUCUCUCCCUUGCUCCGCCACCGAAUCCCUGCUCUUCAACAAUCCGCUCCUGACCACAAAUUCAACAGCAGCCAGAAGAAGAAGAAGCUCAUUUGUAGAUGUCGUUGGCUUGAGCUCGCCGUUCUCUUCUCGGCUUCAACUCACAACACCAAGAAUCCUUAAUUAUAUUUGCUCAUCAGAAUCAUCUAGUUCUCAGACUUCCUCGCUCUCAGGCUCAGCAUGAUUUCCUUUCAACUUCAGUUACCUAAGUGAGUUUAUGAGGAAAAAGUUUUGGCAAGGGUUGAAGAGUUGCGUGCUAAAGAGAAGAGAACCAGAUUACAAUGCGAUCUUUCUCGAGCUUUUUGGGAGGUGAAGAAAAGGAAACAGGUCCUGGAGCUGUACAGGCGACGAGCUUGUAUUUGAACUAAAUUGUGGGAGCUAGUAGUAUUUGAACUAAAUCAUGUGAUCUAAUUGAAUUGAAGUGUAAAACAAUAUUUUGUAUCUAUGUAACAUUUUAAUUUCGUUA